GCAGCCGGGACUGGCUCCAGCUCCGCUUUGUGUCACAGAGCUGCCCGUGUGCCCUGGCCCUGGCUGUGGGGCUGGGAACUGUUCCUGGACCUCCUGGGCCCCGUGGGAACCUUGCUCCCGCAGCUGCGGAGUGGGCCAGCAGCGCCGCCUGCGGGCAUACCGUCCCCCUGGGCCCGGCGGGCACUGGUGCCCCAACAUCCUUACUGCCUACCAAGAGCGCCGCUUCUGCAACCUGCGAGCCUGCCCAGUGCCCGGGGGCUGGUCACGCUGGAGUCCCUGGUCCUGGUGUGACCGCAGCUGUGGGGGAGGCCAAUCCCUGAGAAGCCGCAGCUGCUCAAGCCCCCCAUCCAAGAACGGGGGAGCCCCCUGUGCUGGGGAGCGGCACCAGGCCCGCCUCUGCAAUCCCAUGCCUUGUGGUAUGGCAAUGGUGACAGUCCUGUCCUACCCUUAUUGGGCUCCACUCUGCAUGGGGCCUGGCUGCUACCUCAUGGGCCAGUUUGGAAACUGAGCCCUCUGGGGUGGAGGGCUGGGCCUGGCGUUGGGCAAGGAUACCCUGAGCAUGUCUGUUGUCUGUGCCAAGGCCCAAG
rnacentral:lncRNA from 1 species